AAAUCUUUAUAUAGUUUGCAUAAAAAUGGUCUUUUGUUAAAGUGUUCUUUAGUUGGUAUAAAGACGUAUGCACGUGAUUAAUUUCUUACUCAAGAUUGGAUAAUUGGUUCAUGAAUUAUUAAUGAGUUUUUGAACCAAAUAUCAAAUAUUUAUUGACCUCAUCUUGGAUUGCUAAUCAGUUAAAAAUCUGCUAGAUUUUAGCAGAUCGCGUGACCAACGUCUACCAGGAUCUUUUCUCCCCUCGCCUAGAGGAAAGAACCUGGGUACAAUGUUGAAAAUGAGUAAUGCUCUCCCAAACUUCUGGUCCUUCCCUUCAGAUGGAAACUGCAGAAAGCCUUCUAUAUACACGACAAGGGUUGUUGUGGCUGUGUUAAAGAAGAACAAUGUUGUUAUUGCUACGAUAUUUUCCCUGGAGGCCAUUGUCCAGAUUGAUGUUGCCUGUCUUGCACGUGUCCGCCCCGGGACGACCCAGGCCACAACCAAACGAAUGGCAACCGAAGCAGAGCGUUGACGUUGGCGGACUUGAAAGAUGUAAAACCAGAGUAUAUAAGUAGUGCGGUGGUGAAUGGGUGGCGCAGGGAAUACGAGCGAAAAUACUGCCUGCUCACAAUGAGCCCUCGAGGUUCGUAUAGAGUUUAAUGUCUUUAAACAGUGCCUGAAAACAAACGCAAAUUAUAACAAGGCAGUUAUCAAAUAGGCUCGGUCCCAGGCGUAACCUCUGGGACCGAGUCUAGUUAUCAAGCUGAUAUCAGAUGUGUUAACACUGCUUGUUCUGGAGCACAAGUAUAAGGUUGACGACAGUGACAGACUUGCUACAAGUUGUUGUAACAAGACUAAUACAGGCAGUUUGCAACAAGUUGCUACGAGCUUGUUGUCAAUUAGCCCAGCGAGCAGGUUAGUACUAGUUGUCAUCAACUUGUUAACAACUUAUUACGUACAGACGUGAUGCUUUUGAUGUUAUUCUGAGUGUACAUCCACAUCGGGCAAGCUUGAAAAAUAUGCCUGGCCACGGUGGGAAUCGAACCUACGACCUUUGGAACACUAAACAGCUUGCUGCAAGUCUAUAUUUGCCUCAUUAACCAUGUUACAAGAUGAUAACAACUUGUUUUAGACUUGUCAACAAUUUGAAACAAGAAGCACAGUGCUUUAUCAGAUAUAAAACACUCGCGCUGUGCUUUCGUGUUUUAUAUCUGAUAAAUCAUUCCUGUUCGUGUUUUAAAUAUAGUGCUUAAUGUUGUAUACUCGGGUCUGAUAGUACAAAUGAUUCCUCCAGGUAUGUCUGUGAUAGUGAAGCAACCAACAACAGCAGUUCAGAUAGAAGACGACCACGAUUUCGGAAACAAACUGAAACCGAGCGAUAUUAAACUAUCGUCAGCUAUGGCAAUGUCUGCCGCGGCUGUAUCGCCGUAUCUUGGAAAAAAUGAAGAAAGCGAAAGACAGUUAACACAUAUUUUGACCGUUUGUGGCAUAGAAAUGGCUGCAAAUAUUGUGUACGAUAUGGACAAUGAAAGAAAUGAGCAUUGUUGUGGACCGGUAAGAUCAGGGACGUCGGAACUGGAGGGGCAGGAGGGGCAGCUGCCCCUCCUACCUUUUGCUAGGGGGAGCAAGGGGGGCAGAAGUGCCCUUUUAGUUGUAAAAUACUACCUGAUAAAUCACAUUUCCAGUGAUGCUUUUUCGGGCAAAAUCAUGAGAUUCAGGUAAUUAAUAGGCCCAGAUUUAAUUUACAAAAAUAAGUGUGAAUUUGGAAAAGAAUGAGGUUAAUUUACAAAAAUUUUUAAAAAUUUUUGGAUUUUAGAAAAAAAUUUUGGAUAAAUGGGUAAAAUUUGCCGAUGUCCGGAAAAAUUUUUUUACGUCACGAAAAAUUUUGGUAUGUCCUGAAAAAAUUUUUGACCCCUAAAAUGGUACACUGAUCGAAUUUUUUUGGCGACGGGAGUGGGGGGGGAGAUGGGGGAAAGGUCGCCCAAAAAAAAUUCAAUUUCAGGUAAAUUUCGAACUUUUGGUCUAUAGAGGUGCCCUUUGGUGUACGUCUGCCCCCCUUUGCCUUUUUAUCGUUCCGGCGUCCCUGGGUAAGAUUUUGAAAAUGCCAAUGAAAAUUACCCGUGAUGUGAUCUAUUUUCCAAGCGCAAAAUGCAAAUAUAUGAAAUAAUAUACCGACAUGACAUAUUAUACACUAUUUUGUUAAGUAUGAAUAAUUUGAGAAGUAUAUUUGCUGAUGGCAUCAAUUUUAUAUUACGUUUUUGUUGUAGUUUUGUUUAUAUGCUGUAAAUUUCAUCAUAUUAGUUCUAAUCGCUGUUGGUGGAGUUUUUGGAGUUUUGGAAAUUACGAAAUCGUCUUUCCUAGUCUCGUCACUGCCAGUGGUCAUAACUUCAUGUAUCGUGGGAG